rnacentral:rRNA from 1 species
AGCAGCCGCGGUAAUUCCAGCUCCAAUAGCGUAUAUUAAAGUUGUUGCAGUUAAAAAGCUCGUAGUUGAAUUUCGGGGUCAGUAGAUUGGUCAUGCCACUGGUAUGUACUGGUCUCACUGAUUCCUCCUUCCUGAUGAGCCGUAAUGCCAUUAAUUUGGUGUUGCGAGGAAUCUGGACUGUUACUUUGAAAAAUUAGAGUGUUUAAAGCAGGCUAACGCUUGAAUACAUUAGCAUGGAAUAAUGAAAUAGGACGUUCGAUCUUAUUUUGUUGGUUUCUAAGAUUGACGUAAUGAUUAAUAGGGAUAGUUGGGGCAUUAGUAUUCAAUUGUCAGAGGUGAAAUUCUUGGAUUUAUUGAAGACUAACUACUGCGAAAGCAUUUGCCAAGGAUAGUUUUCAUUAAUCAAGAACGAAAGUUAGGGGAUCGAAGACGAUCAGAUACCGUCGUAGUCUUAAACCAUAAACUAUGCCGAC